GCCCCCGUAGCUCAGUAGGAUAGAGCGUCGGUUUCCUAAACCGCAGGUCGCAGGUUCGAUUCCUGCCGGGGGUA
rnacentral:tRNA from 1 species